rnacentral:tRNA from 1 species
GGGAGCGAAUGGGUGCUGGUGUGCCCCCCGGUCUUCAAAACCGAUGUGACCUCGCAAGGGGUUAGGUGGGUUCGAUUCCUACACGCUCCCGCCA